rnacentral:rRNA from 1 species
UACAGGGGGUGCAAACGUUGCUCGGAAUUACUGGGCGUAAAGCGUGCGCAGGCGGUUCGCCAAGUCAGGUGUGAAAUCCCCGGGCUUAACCUGGGAAUUGCGCUUGAAACUAGCGGGCUUGAGUGCGGCAGAGGGGGGUGGAAUUCCACGUGUAGCAGUGAAAUGCGUAGAGAUGUGGAGGAACACCGAUGGCGAAGGCAGCCCCCUGGGUCGACACUGACGCUCAUGCACGAAAGCGUGGGGAGCAAACAGG